ensembl:lncRNA
AUGGGUGUCACUGUUUUACGCUGCCUUUCGUUGUAUGGAUUCAUUCUCACAAUACAUGCUCUCCAGCACCAGCGGGUCCGGCCCAACGGCAUGGCCAUUCUGUCUUGUGGUGAGCUGAAGUCUGGGAAAGUGACCUGGAGCAGAGAUCUGAAAGGGCGCCGAAUGCCCAUUCUCAGCACUGAUAAUGGAGACAUAACCAGACACAUACAGAAUCACAAUCACAGCUCAUUACCAGACCUGUCUCUGGUUAUCUGGUUUGUCUCAUCUUGGGAUGAGGGCUUGUAUUAUUGCAACAGCACACCUGUGGCAUGUCUAACAGUGAAAGAAGCUGAUGGGCAGAACAACAAGGAUCUGACUGCUUGUGUCGAAGGUGGCGUGCGUCUGGAUGUGAUGGAGCGUAUGCUGAUGUUCGGCGGUGUUGGACUGGCGGCUCUGAUGCUUUUCUUCGCUACUGCAGCUGCAGUCAAAGCUUCACGCUCGACUCGCAAUGAAACACAAAGAUCUCACACGGCAGACCGCACCGAUCUUUACAUUAACAUGAGAGAAUGCCAGUCAAACUGA